rnacentral:ncRNA from 1 species
AGGCAAAACCAGUGAAAACUGGCGACGCAAAGUUAUGGGUCUAAAGCUCCAAUUAUUUAUAAUGGGAGCCAUGAUUGCCAGAUUACCGAA